UACAGAGGGGGCAAGCGUUGUUCGGAAUUACUGGGCGUAAAGCGCACGUAGGCGGAUUGUUAAGUCAGGGGUGAAAUCCUGGAGCUCAACUCCAGAACUGCCUUUGAUACUGGCGAUCUCGAGUCCGGGAGAGGUGAGUGGAACUGCGAGUGUAGAGGUGAAAUUCGUAGAUAUUCGCAAGAACACCAGUGGCGAAGGCGGCUCACUGGCCCGGUACUGACGCUGAGGAGCGAAAGCAUGGGGAGCGAACAGG
rnacentral:rRNA from 1 species